GACGAACGCUGGCGGCGUGCUUAACACAUGCAAGUCGAACGGAAAGGCCCUGCUUUUGUGGGGUGCUCGAGUGGCGAACGGGUGAGUAACACGUGAGUAACCUGCCCUUGACUUUGGGAUAACUUCAGGAAACUGGGGCUAAUACCGGAUAGGAGCUCCUGCUGCAUGGUGGGGGUUGGAAAGUUUCGGCGGUUGGGGAUGGACUCGCGGCUUAUCAGCUUGUUGGUGGGGUAGUUGCUUACCAAGGCUUUGACGGGUAGCCGGCCUGAGAGGGUGACCGGCCACAAUGGGACUGAGAUACGGCCCAGACUCCUACGGGAGGCAGCAGGGGGGAAUAUUGCACAAUGGGCGGAAGCCUGAUGCAGCAACGCCGCGUGCGGGAUGACGGCCUUCGGGUGGUAAACCGCUUUCGCCUGUGACGAAGCGUGAGUGACGGUAAUGGGUAAAGAAGCACCGGCUAACUACGUG
rnacentral:rRNA from 1 species